GUACUGCUGAAGAGUCCCAAACUAGGACGAAACAGAUGACUGUCCAGUGC
rfam:Trichobilharzia regenti genome assembly, scaffold: TRE_scaffold0001436